AUCUAGUGGCGAACGGGUGAGUAACACGUGGGUAACCUGCCCAUCAGAGGGGGAUAACAUCCGGAAACGGAUGCUAAAACCGCAUAGGUCUUCGAGCUGCAUGGCUUGAAGAGGAAAAGAGGCGCAAGCUUCUGCUGAUGGAUGGACCCGCGGUGCAUUAGCUAGUUGGUGAGGUAACGGCUCACCAAGGCCGUGAUGCAUAGCCGACCUGAGAGGGUGAUCGGCCACAUUGGGACUGAGACACGGCCCAAACUCCUACGGGAGGCAGCAGUAGGGAAUCUUCCGCAAUGGACGCAAGUCUGACGGAGCAACGCCGCGUGAGUGAAGAAGGUUUUCGGAUCGUAAAACUCUGUUGUUAGAGAAGAACAAGUGCUAGAGUAACUGUUAGCGCCUUGACGGUAUCUAACCAGAAAGCCACGGCUAACUACGUGCCAGCAGCCGCGGUAAUACGUAGGUGGCAAGCGUUGUCCGGAUUUAUUGGGCGUAAAGCGAGCGCAGGCGGUUCCUUAAGUCUGAUGUGAAAGCCCCCGGCUCAACCGGGGAGGGUCAUUGGAAACUGGGGAACUUGAGUGCAGAAGAGGAGAGUGGAAUUCCAUGUGUAGCGGUGAAAUGCGUAGAUAUAUGGAGGAACACCAGUGGCGAAGGCGACUCUCUGGUCUGUAACUGACGCUGAGGCUCGAAAGCGUGGGUAGCAAACAGGAUUAGAUACCCUGGUAGUCCACGCCGUAAACGAUGAGUGCUAAGUGUUGGAGGGUUUC
rnacentral:rRNA from 1 species